AGUUCGAGUUGGUGAUAUUUUGGAACUGAGUGUGGUUCCUUCGAUAUCAAUGUAUUCUAAGACAUGAUACUUUUUGUGUGUGUUAGUGUUAUAUACGGGACUAGCUAACAGUCGUGGGUCGUGGGUAGAAUGUCGUGAGUCGUGGGUAAAAAGUCGUGGGUCGUGGGUAAAAAGGCGUGGGUCGUGAGUAAAAAGGCGUGGGUCGUGGGUAAAAAGGCGUGGGUCGUGGGUAAAAAGGCGUGGGCCGUGGGCAAAAAGGCGUGGGUCGUGGGUAAAAAGGCGUGGGUCCCGAAUACAAAGUCGUGAGUUCCAAGCAAAGUAUUUCCAUACAUUUACCUUUCCACCUUUCUUUGGAAUGCGUGUUUUUUUUCU